AAAAAAAAAAACAUUGGGUUUCCGUGCCAAUAUUUUACUGUCCGUCUUAUAUAAUUUUUUUUUUAUAAUUAGUAUUUUCAUUGUUGUUAGAUGAUAAAACAUUAUUAAUACUUUAUGUGUGAAUUAUCUUUUUAAUUUUUUUCAUAUUUUUUUAAAAUAAGACGGACGGUCAAAUGUUAUACACGGAAAGCAAAGUUUGUCUUUUUU
rfam:Oryza nivara chromosome 1, whole genome shotgun sequence.